GGUCAGGAGGCUGCAGCUGCUCCAGACCUGAGGACCAGAGGGCGGCUGCCUCGUGUCUGUUCCCGAAACCACAUCAUUAAACCCGGCCAGGACAUCGUGAUGAGUCCACUCUGAAAAAGCGUCGGGAUCCAUGCCGCCCGUGUGUGAGUCUCUCGGAGCAGUUGGGUGAUGGUGAACAAGUGUUUCCUGAGCACCUGAUUGAAGACUGGAUGUGGUUGUAGCUAUGCUGACGUCAGGGUGGGCCCUCUCCCGCUGUGGCCUUGUGCUACUCAUCUGCUCGUCCCUCUGUCUGUCCCAGCAGCCUCACAUCAAACUUACAGACUGCAGCAGAAAGGAACAUCCUGUUGUCUCCUACCAAAUGUUGACGCCGUGGAUGUCGGAGUUCUCCCAUUCAGGAGUGAAGGAUUUCUCCCAGCUGGCUCUGGACCUGAGCAGAAACCAGCUCAUUGUGGGAGCGAGAAACUUUAUCUUCAAGCUGCGUUUGAGCAACGCCUCCCUCAUACAGGCAACAGAAUGGGCACCUAGUGAAGAUACAAAGCGCUCAUGUCAGAGCAAGGGCAAAUCUGAGGAGGAAUGUCAGAACUACAUCCGGGUUCUGUUGAUCAGUGGGGGGACGCUGUUCACGUGUGGGACCAAUGCUUUUACCCCCGUGUGUAUGAGCAGGCAGAUUGAUAACAUCAGUCAGGUGUUGGACACUGUGAACGGCGUUGCCCGAUGUCCCUACGACCCGCGCCACAACUCCACAGCCAUGGUAACGGAGAAGGGCGAGCUGUACGCUGCUACAGUGAUCGACUUCUCGGGACGUGACCCAGUCAUCUACAGGAGCCUGGGGAACAUGCCGCCGCUGCGCAGCGCCCAGUACAACUCCAAGUGGCUCAACGAGCCUCAUUUUGUGUCUGUUUAUGAGAUCGGUCGCUUUGCCUACUUCUUCCUGAGAGAAACGGCAGUGGAAAACGACUGUGGGAAGAUGGUGUUCUCUCGCGUGGCACGGGUGUGCAAGAACGACAUGGGCGGUCGUUUCCUGUUGGAGGACACCUGGACAACCUUCAUGAAGGCCCGACUCAACUGCUCGCGCUCAGGAGAAAUCCCCUUUUACUACCACGAGCUGCAGAGCACCUUUUACUUACCAGAGCAGGACCUGAUCUACGGCAUCUUCACCACUAAUGUGAACAGCAUAUCAGCUUCAGCCAUCUGCGCCUUCAAUCUGAGCUCCAUCACUCUCGCGUUCAACGGACCUUUCCGCUACCAGGAGAACCCCCGCACUGCCUGGCUCUCUACCCCAAACCCCAUACCCAAUUUUCAGUGUGGCACUCUGGAGGAGGGAGGCCCUGGGGGGAACCUGACGGAGCGCAACCUCCAGGAGGCCCAGCGACUCUUCCUGAUGAACGACGUGGUGCAGCCGGUCACCAUCAACCCGCUGCUCACCCAGGACAAUCUGCGCUUCUCCAAGCUGGUAGUGGACAUCGUGCAGGGCCGAGACACGCUCUACCAUGUCAUGUACAUCGGCACUGAGUAUGGCACUAUCCUGAAGGCUCUGUCCACAACCAACAGAAGCCUUCAAGGCUGCUACCUGGAGGAGCUCAGGAUCCUUCCUGACGGACAAAUCCGACCAAUCAAGAGCCUGAAAAUUCUCCAGAGUGACAGGUCCUUGUUUGUGGGACUCGAUGACAGAUUGGUGAAGAUCCCAUUAGAGCGAUGCUCCAACUAUCCAAACGAACGCUCCUGCAUGGAAGCCCGGGACCCAUACUGCGGCUGGGAUCUUAAACAGAAGCGCUGCACCACCUUCGAGGAGAGUUCCAACAUGAACCAGUGGACCCAAAACAUCACAGAGUGCCCCGUGAGGAACUUAACUCAGGAUGGCGCUUUCGGCUCCUGGGCACCGUGGCAGCCCUGUAACCACGAUGACGGCGAGGGCUCCAUCAGCAGCUGCGCAUGUCGGUCCCGCUCAUGUGACGGACCAGUGGCUCGAUGUGGUGGUGUCGAAUGCGAGGGUCCUACCAUUCAGGUGGCAAACUGUUCCAGGAAUGGCGGCUGGACCCCCUGGUCUUCAUGGGGCCAGUGCAGCAGCAGCUGCGGCAUCGGCUUCGAAGUGAGGCAGCGGUCCUGCAACAACCCCUCGCCUCGCCACGGUGGUCGAAUCUGCGUCGGCCAGGGUCGAGAGGAGAGGCUGUGCAAUGAGAAAAGGCCAUGUCCCCUGCCAGUGGCGUGGACAGCAUGGGGCCCCUGGGCUCACUGCAGUGCCGAAUGUGGAGGUGGGGUCCACUCCAGGACCAGAACCUGUGAGAAUGGAAACACGUGUCCUGGAUGUGCCACGGAGUUUAAGGUCUGUAACCUGGAGGCUUGCCCUGAGGUCCGCCGCAACACCCCCUGGACUCCCUGGAUGCCGGUGAAUGUCAGUCAGAACGGGUCACGGCAGGAGCAGAGGUUCAGGUACACCUGCCGGGCUCUGCUGCCCGACCCGCAGCAGCUGCAGCUGGGCAAGAAGAAGGCGGAGACCCGGUUCUGUCCCAGUGACGGGUCUGGAGCCUGUCAGACGGACUCCCUGGUUGAAGACUUGGUGAAGACCACUGGCCGCACUAUGUCCCAGCCCCAAGAUGCUCUCUGGGGAUCCUGGGAAACGUGGUCCGGCUGUUCACAGCAGUGUUCCAGAGGUUUCCGAACCCGCAAACGUAUCUGCUCGACGGCAGAGGGCAGGACCAACCCGAGCUCCUGCGUGGGAUCCCCGGUGGAGUAUCAGGACUGCAACACUCAGCCCUGCCCAGUGAGUGGAGCCUGGUCUUGCUGGUCCUCCUGGUCCCAGUGCUCGUCCAGCUGUGGAGGUGGACACUACCAGCGGACUCGGCAGUGCAGCAGCCCACCGCCUGCCAACGGAGGAGACAUCUGUAUAGGCCUGCACACUGAAGAGGCUCUCUGCAACACACACACUUGUGAAGGUUGGGGCGAGUGGACAGAGUGGGGGGAUUGCGAUGAGGAGGGUCUGCAGCAUCGCACUCGUCACUGCAGCGAGGACGGGGUGGCUGAGGCUGGUCUCUGCCAGGGCAACAUCACCCGGUCCAGGCCGUGUCAGCCGCAUGAGGUGCCAGUUAUUCUACCCGGACAGGACGACCACAGCUGUGGAACCUUCACUUUGUUCCAGCUGCUUGCUGUGGGCUCAGCUUGUUUCUUUGCAGCAGUGUUACUCUCAGCGCUGGCCUACACGUACCACCACCACCUGAGCCGACCGUCAGCAGAGUCCGCGGUGAUCCACCCCAGCACGCCCAACCACCUCACCUACAACAAGCAGGGCAACAGCACGCCAAAGAAUGAGAAGUACAUCCCCAUGGAGUUUAAGACACUUAACAAGAACAAUCUCCACGUGAAUGACGAGACGUGCAACCACUUCCCUUCCCCGCUGGCCUCCAGCAACAUGUUCACCACCACCUACUAUCCUCCCAGUCUGGGCAAGUACGACUUCCAUCCAGAAUCCCCCUGCAGGACCUACAUGCACAGCUGAGAGAAAACAACCCUCUUCACUCAUCCCAUCUCCACCCUGAAGGAUUUCAAAGUCCUGAAGUAAACACCAAAAUCAUCAUAAUCAGGUUCCAGAGAUCUUAAAUACUUCUCGUUCACAGUGGAAAACCCUGAUCGGGACGUUUUCACUCGACCUGGACGUCACUGACGUCUUCGGACUUUUCUGUCAGCAGAUAAGUUGCAUUAUUUUCACAGAUGUAUUUGUGUCCUGAAACAACUUGAUGGAUUUUAUUCGUCACACAGAGACAGUUUUUUUAGUUCACCCCUGUUUUCUGGAUGUUUAUGGUUAUUUCUCAACAGUCACCAAAUACAACGCAUGCUCUGGAACCUUCCAGAACAUUUCACAGUGUGGAAAACAAUGGCUGCCUUUACGGUAGGAAGAACACAGUUUGUUCUGCAGCAAUGACAUAAAAUAUAACUUUGAGAUUGAUUAAACACUGGUUUGAUGUAAGGAAAGCAAGGUAAACAUUGUUUUAAUGGACUAUAACUCUGUUUUCCUCAUGUUAUCCGGGUAAGAACUGGAUUCUCUAAAAUGUGAGAUUUAAAUGUGAGUGUGAACGGUUGUUUGUCUCGAUUUGAAUUUACAGACGCAACAAACUGUUGAUUAUAUUUGACCUUUCUCCUGAAAGAAAAUAUCUAUAAUUGGGUACGAAUUGCAGAGGAAACAGGAAUACAGCAUUUGUCCAUGUAAUAUUUGUGCGUCUAAUAUUGCUGGAAACAUUUUUCUUUAUACAUGUUGAAUAUACAUGCCUCUAAAAGCAUUUCAUAUUCAGCCGACUGGCUGGAUUCAGAAACUGGAAAAUGAAUUGAAAUGAAUUAACUAUAUGUGUUUUCGGUUGGGCAAUUUUCCUCAAUAAAUACAACCAAAUGAAGUUUGCAAGAAAUGAUUCAGACAUUAAAAUAUGUAAAAUAAACAAUUUGCUUAAGUUUUGCUGCUGAAAAAGCCCAAAAAGUCAACUAUUAAAGUCACAACAUGUAGUUUCUCCAGAUUAUGGCCACUUCUCCUGGUAGAAUCAAGACAUACACUUCCUCUACAUUCACCAUUACGACUGGAUUUUGCUGAGAUUGUCCAACUAAAGCUCUCCAGGAUAAUAUCUAACUUUAAAUCCAGACAUUGGUUUUAAAAUCAUUUUUAAAACACGUUCAGUCAGUCACCAUCUCGGUUCCUGGUCUGUUCCAUGAGAGUAUUGCUGAUAUUUAAGUUUAUCCUGUGCUGUGAAAUGUAUAUGAUUCCAUUCAGUGUCUUGUGUUUCUGAAAUGUUAAUGAAUGCAGGUGUUUUUCACCAUUUGCAGUUUUAUGUAGCAUGAAACAACAUGUGUGUUCACGUCUGGGUGCUUGCAUCACAAGUAACUGCAUGCAGCGAUGAAUAUACGACCUGUUUGUGUACAGACAAACUGUACACACGUGUGUAUUUGUAUUUGGACACGAUGAUGGAAAUAUUCCCUGUGUAACGUAUUUAAAGGUCUCGACAGCUGAAUCCUCAUUAGACUCAAUAAACCCUCACAAUUUGUUGGUGAAUCCCUUCAAACAAACACUUCUGCUGAAUGUGACUCAACACUGCCUUUUGGACACUGUGAACUUUUGUUACUCUAUAUUUUUUAUAAUGUACACUGUAAAAAAAUAUCAAAAGUUGAAUAAAUCAGUUUUG